AAAGGAGCUUUGCAUCUCAAUCAAGUGUCUUCUCUAUGCAAGGACAACACAUCUCACAGAAAUAUGUACUUUGCUUUUCCCCUGGAAUCCUGGCUGGAGACACUGCUGUUUCUGCUGCUGAAUUCAGAGAAUAAAACUGUCUUGAAAAGAGUGGACCAAAUUCAAAAAGCUUGGAAAUCUGUGCCAAGAACUUCAUCAGUAACUGAAAGGCUGAAAGAAAUGCAAAGAGCAAACUUCUGGACAGGCAGAAUGAAAAAAAAGAAGGAAAACGUCCAAUGAAUUCUCAUCAGAAACAAAAUGUCUCUAAGCUUUUAUAGUGUCUAUGCAGGGGCUUUCAACUGUUUGACUGUUUUGAACAAAACCUGACUGGUGAUCAGUAGUGGUUGCAAGCUCUGAUUCCCUUCAUCCCAUGCUCCACCACCUUCCUGUGAGACAGAUGAUGUCUUCAUGGAAAU